UACAGCUGUAUUGAUGUAGCACUGGCCAAUAGGAGGAGACGUGCUUCCGUGACACCCAAUCUGAUGUCUGAUAAGAUGUGACAUGAGGAAAUCUGAUGAGAAUUCCUACAGUCUCUUAAAAACAGAACAAGAAACACAAUGCGACAGAUCCAGAGCCAUCUGCAGACCUAUGGCCUUCAUAUCAUUCUUACUGAGGGCUGAAGUCAUGUACAUGUGCAUCUCCAAAAAACGGC